UACGAAGGGGGCUAGCGUUGUUCGGAAUUACUGGGCGUAAAGGGCGCGUAGGCGGCUGUGUCAAGUCAGGCGUGAAAGCCCCGGGCUCAACCUGGGAACCGCGCUUGAGACUGGCACGCUAGAGUUCGGGAGAGGAUGGUGGAAUUCCCAGUGUAGAGGUGAAAUUCGUAGAUAUUGGGAAGAACACCGAUGGCGAAGGCAGCCAUCUGGACCGACACUGACGCUGAGGCGCGAAAGCGUGGGGAGCAAACAGG
rnacentral:rRNA from 1 species